CUUUUACGAUAUGCAAAUCCUACUUUGUAAGUUGUUUAGGCGAUAUAGAAUGGAAUAACUUGCAGUUUAGAUAGAAACUUGUCAAUUCAGUUGUUGAGGAAUAGAAGAUUAUCAAUUAACAAAAUGCUGAAUUUUGUAGUUCAGAAAUAGCUAGCUCUCUCCCUGUGAAAAAAAUAAGAAAUAGUAUCUAACUAUAUUUGUGCCUUCCUUUGGCCGGUAUAUAUUCCAAUCAACAUGCUGUAGUUACUUUCUUCUGCGUUAUUAUGCCAGAACAUAUUUUUUGUACUUGUUUAGAUGUCCAAUCUUUGCUUGUAAUUACAAUUACGUAUUAUUAAUUGUCUUUAUCUUGGCUGUAUGAAAGCAACUUAUGAAAUUACGUCACUUAACAAAUUAGAUAUGUUGUGAAUAAUGGCAACUGAAACAUACAUAAAGGUCCUCCCGUGCCUUCAUAAGCGACAUGUGGCACUAUUGCCUGCAUGGUAACGUUUAAUUUUCAGUUAAGUGGUCGGUUUAAGGUGUCGUGGUUGGACGGCCGCAUCGGCAGCAAUGGUGGUGUGGCGUGUUUCGUUUCUAUUGGAGGUGAUUGGACGAGCGGCCGGUGGGUGGCGGCAAUUGGUUACUGCGGAGUCCUCAGUUUCGACGCGUAUUGUUGCAUCUCCUUACUAGCCAACGCUGGAAAACAAUUGCAUACCGGUGAUCUGGUCCGGGCGGUACGAGGUUUCAUAUCAGGGACGAAUCAAAAAGAGCUUCUCUCUCCAUAUUAGACCUACGACUGUCUCGAGUCCUGCUACCAGUCCUAAUCUCUCUCCCCAUAAAUAGAGCUACCAAUUCUGUUGUCUCCUCACUCCUCAGGAUAUUUGCACAGCUGAUUCUUUAGUUCAAUUUUGUUAGUGCAGAGAUCCAGGUGAGGCUGCACCAUAUCACCUCUCUCCAGUUUCCGUGCAUCCUUAGAAGUCUAUCAAUUCAUUUGCUUAGCAUUAGAAGCUUAUGAAUUAGUUAGAUUCUGAAAUCAUCUUUACAUGUCUUCCGGUGCAUUAUAGUCCAUAGAAUGUCAGGGCAGUAAAAACGAAAUUAUUUGGUAGUCUAUGUACAGGUUUCAUCAACUCAGUUAUUCAGAUUAGAAGCUCCAAUUCUGAAUUUUGUAGUUGAGGAGUAGCUGCCUCCGGUGUAGUUAAAUAUUUUGGCAAAACUAGUGAUGUUAGCCUUCUUGAGGUGUUUCUGUUAAUGGUAGAUGUGUAAUUUUUGCUUGUCGUAAUUGCAGCUAUGUAUUCAUAUUUAAAUUGCAUUUAUAUAUAUUGUGAAAAUUUACAUAGCUUAGCGUCUUAGUUGAGUUGUUUCAGAAUACAUGAUUCUUGGAUACGUACAGUGAGAAGCAGGCACUGAGCCACUUGAUUAUAAAGAGCUCUUAACUUUUUGAAUUGUUUUUCACCUGACACAUACAUCUUAUGUUUUAGUCAUUGUGUGUUCCAUUUGGUUAUCCUUAUCUCUUAAUAUUGUUUUCCUUUACAAUUUUUUUGGGAUGCUUAUGUAAUAUUAUCUCAAGUUUCAGGCACCAACAGCAUGUUACUCCCUAUUGAAUUGAGAAAUGCCUGACAAAUAUUUGGCAAGUGGAAAGAAACUAGCAUGAUGCCAAGUUCUAGCUGAUAUAAUUUCCUCACAGUAUGCAUCUGGAUGUAAAUGUGAAACCGUGUAGCUUUGUGCUAUAAACCCUGGAUAUAAAUAACUCGCGGCGUUAUUAUGCCAAUAAUUAUUUCGUUUUUGA